UACGUAGGGGGCAAGCGUUGUCCGGAAUCAUUGGGCGUAAAGAGCGUGUAGGUGGCUCGGUAAGUCCGCUGUGAAAGUCCAGGGCUCAGCCCUGGAAAGCCGGUGGAAACUGUCGAGCUCGAGUCCGGAAGAGGCGAGUGGAAUUCCUGGUGUAGCGGUGAAAUGCGCAGAUAUCAGGAGGAACACCAAUGGCGAAGGCAGCUCGCUGGGACGGUACUGACACUGAGACGCGAAAGCGUGGGGAGCAAACAGG
rnacentral:rRNA from 1 species